rnacentral:tRNA from 1 species
GGAGGGGCGACGCGCCAGUAAGAUCGCUGGGCUCAUAACCCCAGAGGACGCCGGUUCGAGUCCGGUCCCCGCUACCA